AUGGAAAAUAUGAAGUCCAAGGAUAAGGAUAUUACUGGUAAAGAGAAAUCCUUGCAUGAGUCCUUGGACGCCACCCUCCUCCGCCAACAAGAGCUUGGGGUGGAGGUGUUCGAGAUUUUUAUUGAGGUGGUGUCUACUUCUGGCGUCUACUUUGAGUAUUCAAAGAACAAGUUUCCUUCCUUUACCCAAGAUGGAUAUGAGCCAAAUGUACUUCCUUAA